UUUAACGAUUUUAUCUAUACACCCUUAAAAAAGAGCAGUGGAACCUGCGGCAAAGCUGAGGAAAGUGUCCUCUGCAGACUCUUUUUGUUGAAUUUGUACUGUUUGAGCUUUCGAUGAAAACAAGAGCAAAGCUGUACCAAAUGGAACCUAAAGCAUCUCAUCAACACAGAAAACGGAGGAAACUCACAAUCCCCACGUUGCCAGAUGAACUUAUCACAGCAAUUCUUGAAAGGCUUCUAGUUAAAUACCUCUUACAAUUCAAAUGUGUAUCCAAAAAUUGGUUUGCUUUAAUUUCUAGCCCUGGAUUUGUGAAGGACCAUCUCAGUUUUUCUGCUAAGGAUUAUACUCACUAUAUAUCUCUGUUACCAUUUCGUGAUAGUAUGAAAUAUUGUUCUGUUGGUUCUUUAUUUCAUGACAAUUACGGAGACACUUGAUUUGGAUUAUCCUCCUAUGACUAAACCGUACGGAGAUGUUUAUAGUUCGGGUUGUGUUAAUGGGUUGAUUUGUCUUUAUAAUGGGUUUGAUGGGUUGGUUCUGUGGAAUCCAUGGAUUAGAAAGUACAAGGAAGUGUUCGGCUUUAGGCCUACGUACCUGGGAUGUCGUAUUGUGGAUCGACUAAGUUUGCGAAUGGACGGCUUCAUUGGGUUACUACUGGAGGUGGUGAUGGUUAUGGUAUCAUGUCUAUUGAUUUGGUUGAUGAGAAAUGGGUAAGUGUGGAGUUGCCGCCUUGCUACAAAGAAGGAGAUUUGAAGUUUGGAGAGUUGGGCGUGUUGGGACAUAAUCUUUCCGUGCUUUGUAAUGUAAUCAUCAGAGAAGUCACUCUGAUGUGUGGGUAAUAAAGGAAUAUGGGAGUUAAAGAGUCUUGAACAAAACUGUAUACCAUCAGAAUAAAUAUAUGCUUUCUCCGCCUCUUUGCUUGUCCAAUAAAGGUGAAAUUCUGCUCGUGUUUGAAUCAGCUUUAGCGAUAUACAAUCCAAAGCAUGAAUCUAUGACAUAUCCACAGGUUACUAAUGUUGAUGACAGUAUUCACGCAGAACUCUGUAUCGAAAGCCUAGUUUGUCCGAUUUCAGAAAACGAACAUUUGUCAGAUUCAGAUGAGUACUCAGAUGAAUGACAGUUGUAUAGUUAACGACUUGUCACUGUGGAAUCAUACAUGUUGUACAGGGAAAGAUAUGUGGAGUAUGCUGGUGGCUUCUGCUCCUUAGUAAAUGACAUUGCAUGUUCUCUCCUUUGAAGCAGUAUUUUAAAGAACAUGUUGUGUCACUAGACAAAGAGUAAAGAGCACCAAGGCGCAAGUGAAUAUUUCAGUAAUUAUUGGCACAGCCCUUGACAGGAUCUUUGGCAUAAUCAAAGCCUAAACAUGUUUGAUGAUCGUCUGUACACAAUUAUAUGUUUGAUAACUUGCUCUACAAAAUCUACAUUUCAUGCUAUA